CUCUCUUUGCCAGCUGCCAUCCAAGUAAGUUGGGAUUUGCUUUUCCUUACCCUCCUCCAUGAGUGUGAGGCUUCCCCAGCCACGUAGAACUAUCAACCCUGAGGAUUGGGAAGGAACUAUACAUACCAGGAGGCAAGGAGCACUGGGGGCCCUCCUGGAACUGCCUGUCACAGCGUCCUCAAAGGUUUUCACUCUCCUAGGAUGACCCAGGUAUAGAAUCUGCCCCUAUGGUUCGGCUCCACCCUCUCACCUGUCUCUUGAGAGCAUUGUGAAAUUCUGAGACACAGCAAGGACAGAAACAGAGGGCAUGGAAGAUGCUUUCAGAGAUCAGAUCCAGAGCCUGACAAGUUUAUUUACUUGGAGAAGCAGAUUCUAGGUUCUAGAAAAGAAGGCUGAAAAUACAACUUUAAGGGAAAGGAUAAUCUGAUGACUAAUUCUCAUUUAUCAAAAAGCCACUUUGCCUUAGAUCUAUCUGUAUAAACUCCAUGCUUCACAGUAAAAUCCUUCUAACUUUAUUGAAAAAAGGGGGCCACCUAGCAAAUAACACCAAGAGUAUUAUUUCUGGGGUUCAGUUAACCCAAAGACAAUUAUUUAUCUUACUAAAAUCCAUUUCUAGGUCUAUAAACCUAUUGUGUAGUACAUAAAUACAUAGGCUUUAGUCCUAGAUAGUUGGAGCAGAUCCUGGCUAUACCAAUUGUUAGCCAUAAGCCACGAUCAAUGUACUUAACUUCUCCAAGUUUCUCAUCUUUAGAAUGGGGAUAAUAGUGCUAUUUACUUUAUAUAAUUAUUGGGAGGAGGAAAUGGCUUCAUAAAUAUAAAGAACUUAGCAUAGUGAAUGCCACAUAAUAAACCCUAAAUAAUUGUAGCAACUGCUUUUAUUAGGAAGUCUUCCAGAUCUUUGUAAUCUUUGUCCAGUUGUCAUCACAGGCAGAAAUAAAAGAAUAAAAAAUUUCCACUGAGAAUUACGCUAAUUAUAUAAACAUAAUGCAUAUUCUAUGAAACUAACAUUCUCAGAGGUAAUUAUACAAUUUUAGGAGAAAACAUUAUUUUAAAAUUUACCAGUAAAGCACUAUUAUAAAUAUCAAUAAAAAACAUUAUUUUAAAAUUUACCAGUAAAACAUUGUUAUAAAUAUCAAUAAAAUAUUGUCCAACCUACUGAAACAUUUAGAACGUUCUCUUCACUUUUCAUAGCCAUGGACUAUGAAAGUGUUAUGGCAUAUUAUAUGUUUUUUGUUAUAUUCAAAAAUAGUUUAUCCUUGGGAAAAUACUAACUGUGGAAGGAAAUUCUACAAAGUUAGUGACUGGAGGGAAUAAACCUAAUGCAUAUGUUGAA
ensembl:lncRNA novel transcript